GAAUAUUUGAUGGUAUUAGUGUUCUUGUUAGUAUAUCUUGCAUUGAUGUAAAGGUUGAAGUAGGAUUCUAUCAUUGGUAUCGAGCCAGUCUUGAUCCCUCAAUCCCUUCUCUUUUGCCGAUUGAAUAGUGCAUCGACGAAAGAAGUCAUGGAAUCUCAUAAUCAUCUUGCUGCAAUUAACGACACUCACGGUGGGCUAAUCUAACGAUUUGACGCCAUGGAAACUCAUCAAGAUUAUUUUGAUUCUCGAUUCGAGAAACUAUUUUGUGAUUUUGUGGACAAAUGCAAUAUGGGUUCGCAUUCGCCGUACAUCAAAAUGGCAUCUCCUAUCUCUUUUUGUGAAAUCGAAUCAAGUCGUUCUCAAGCUUCAAUCUUUCCAUGAGGAAAAGAUUCGGGCCCGGGAGAAAGUAGAUGAGUUAUUCUCUCAGUAUCGUCCAAGAUACAAGCCUAAAAGUGAUCCUUGUUUGAUACCAAAAUUGGCGAAAUUCAAGAAGGUUCGCAAGAAAUACCACAACGACCAGCAACGCGAAGCCUCUGUACCAAUUCUUGGCUUCCAAUCAUUGCUACCAGCAACAAGGCUAUUUCUUGAUUCUAUUUUCAUUUAGGGUUCUGCAUUCUUUGUAUCUAAUGUGCAAAAGUCGAAUUGCACAAAUUAUGGAUACGAAAAGGUUGGUUCUGUCAAAGAAAGAUUCAACUCUCCUGAUUUUUCUAUAUCUGAUGGAAUUGUAUAGAUUUUCCAAUCCGUUUCGACGUGGGUUUCAUUCUUGAUGCAAAACAGAUGUUAAUUCCAGCAGAAGUAGUAGGCGUUCACUUGGGCCACAACAUGUUCGACGAAUUGCCGAACUCAACAAAUAAUAGUGUUCUUCAGUUAGGCUAUCAUAUGCCGAUUUCAAACUUGGGAGGUACACUUAUUAUUGGGCAUUUUACUUCCAAAUUUCAGGUCGUAGAUGUUCACGAUUCUAAAAUUCUUGUUUUUAAUGUUGAAUUCUUGCAAAAUGGUACUACGGAUCUUCGGGACAAUUGGUUGCUUCAAAUUUUGGUGAUAAAGAAAGUGAUGAAUCCAAGAUAAUGGUUGUAGUUUUUGUGGGUUUAUAUCAGUUUAUGAAGGCACAACCAACAAUUCUUGAGAAUGAAUACCAAAAAGAAUGGGUUGGAAUAUAUGCCCACCAUGUGUUUGUGGGAAUGCAACAAAAGGCCGACAUGGCUUCUUUGAAGCUUGGCUUCCAUGAAUUCAUUCAUGAUAAAUGCGGUACUAAGUUUCUCUCCAGUUUUGAGUCAAUGAAUUUAUGGGCAAGCUGUGAGGACUCAGGGUUCUGUGUUGAUAUCGAUCGUUCCAUGGGCUACUACUGCAAGAUAAUUAGAUUGUUCGAAAUGAUGAAAACUUCUAAUUUUACGGUGAAUUCAUUGGCUUAUGAGGUUCUGUUGUAGUUUUUAUGCAAGAACCUUAGAUUGGAUGAUGUGAUAAAGGUUUUAGAAGAGACACCGCCAAAUAAUGUCUUUGCACUUGUAUUAUAUGUGUUUUGUAAAUUAGGGAAAGUAGAUGACGCGAUGAAGUUCUUGGAAGAUAAGAAAAUCAUGGAAACUUCUGCCUGCAAUGUAAUGCUUCAAGGUUACUGCAGUACUGGAAAGUUUCUUAUGGCGGAAGAUUUACUUGUGAAAAUGUCUAAAAGAAAUGUGGCUGAUUGUAUUUCUUGGAAUAUUAUUAUUAGAUGGCUUUCCGAGAGUGCAAGGAUUAGGGAAGUGCUGGAACUUCUUGGUAGAAAUGUGAUUUCUUGUUCUCUUCCUGACGGUGACACAUACUCAGCUCUAGUCGUUUGCCAUUGCAAAAUGAGCAACUACAGAAAUGCUAUGGAUAUAUUUGACCAUAUUCAUGCCAAAAGCUGGGUUUUGGAUCAUACAUCUUACUGUGAGCUUGUUAAAGGCCUUUGCCUAGGGGAAAUGACUCUUGAGGCUACUGAAGUGUUCUGUUACAUGUCUAGUAAUAGAUGUUCAAUCGAGCCUUCCUCAUUCAAUAUGUUGAUCUACGGUUUGUGUGAGACGGGAAAGGUUGAUGAAGCAAUAAGGAUACAACAAUUGGCCUAUUAUUCUGGUACUUCUUCUACUAGUACAACUUACUCAACUAUUAUGCUUGGAUUGUCAAAAUUAGACAGGGUAAAAGAUCUGUGGGUAGUCCUCUAAAAAAUGCUAAUGAAGGGUUGGAGUCUUGAUUUGGAUGCAUAUUCCGUGCUCAUACAAAGCAUGAGUUUGCAGAAUCGAAUGAAAGAAUGCUUAUUGCUUUUCAAUAUGAUGGUCGAUAAGGGUAUUUAAGAUAAGGGUGGAGUCUCAAAAUUCAGGUAUAUGGUUACUUGAACAUUCAUUUUUCUUGUGCGAAUGCAUCUGGAGAUUUUACUGAAUGUAGCCAAGAUGGAAUAUUUGGGGUUGUGCUGUUGGUUGCAUAUUGUACUUUCAUAGUUGUAGCAGAUCAGGCUUUGCGUUUGAUACUCAUCUCAAUUGGUAAAACAAAUGGGAUUGUGGGAAAUACUGUGUUGUGCAAACCAUUGGGGUUGCCAAUUGAGAGGGCAGAUUCUUGUCAACCGAUAUGGCCGAUGUUGUUAACACACAAGUUUCCAAAUAAUACUAGGAGCAUGGUUGUUAAUUUUGUGUUUACUGCAGUGAUUGGUGCCUUGUUUGCUGAGAAAGAAAGGAAACAAAUUCAUAGGGCUUGUGUAGAGGUGGACUUUCUAUGUAGGUGCUCAGUUCCUGUGAGUAGUGUCAUUAUGCAUCUAUACUCUAGGUGUGGCGAUGAGCAUAAUGCCUUGAGGUUUUUCUUAAACCCAGAUUUGUGCGAAAUUACUAAACCAAAUAUUUCUUGGAUUUCUUUGCUUGCUGGAUACUUUGAGAGUAGAGGUACGAGUCAGGCUGUUCCAGUGGGUAUUGAGAUGUACGAAGUAGUGGUGUGUAUAGUUGCAUUGGGUAUCCUUAUGCAUGCUAGAAAUUCUGAUUGUAUGGUCAAUAUCAUUGCUCAAUUUUGGAGAGGGUAUAAUGUAGAGUUAAUGUUUUCAGCAGUGAGCUCUUGGUGGAAGCUCAUACUUAUGGUUUCAUUAGUUCAGUACAUAUGUUGUUGCUCGUUACAAAGGAAAAACAUAUCAGUCUUCGUACUACUUGUGAAAGCAUAUUGCUGCUGCUAUAUACUAUUGGCUUAUGUCGCUCAUUGCCUCUAAAUCAACCUAUAGUAGUUGGAUCUAUUGCCAAAUCAUAAUCAAAAGAAUGCUACUGGAAUUUUCAAAGCUAAACCUUGAGGACAAGGUUGAUUUCUAAGGGAGGGGUAAUGUUAGGAUGCUAAGUGGCAUCAUUUAGUUAGCCAGGUGUCAAUUGUUGAGUUGGAUUUCUUUAGCCUAUAACCAGCUAUAUAAGCUGAGGUAUGUGCAGAUGCAAAAAGGGGGAAUGAAUAUUUGAUGGUAUUAGUGUUCUUGUUAGUAUAUCUUGCAUUUGAGUAAAGGUUGAAGUGGGGUUCUAUCAUACUAAGAUUACAUCACCCCCUUUCCUUGCUAUAGAUAGAUAAAAAAGCCUACUGAGGAGUUGAGCUUGUGACUGCGGCAUCGUGUUUUAGGGUUCAUUCCUUUUUUUAUACAAAGAAAUCACGGUCGAGAUCAAAACUCACAGAAAAGACUUUUAGUUUCUCUCAAUCUCUCUCUGGUCUCUACCGUGUUCUUUGUAUAAAGAGAUGUACUGGAUCUGUCUCCAUAUAUUUUCAUUGGUAUUAUAUUAAUUGGUAUUUGAUGGGAAUUCUUUUAGGGGGUGUUUGUUUGGCCACCUUAAGUUUCACUGGACUGGACUACUUAGGUAGGAUUAUUAUUCUAUGUUUGGUGCAAGCCGGGAUUAAGUUUAAUGGGAUUUAGCUGGGCUUAGCGAGAACUUGCCUUCCCACUGCCUUCCUCCCCACCUCCCUCUCGUCUGUCCAGAAGAUCUCAAAGUCUGCAAGAAACGAUUCAAAUGAAUCUAAAAGUCCAAGUCUGCAAGACUUGAUUUGCAGGAUAAAGGGUUCUGGGUUGGGCACUUUGCGUUUUCUCUCGAAGGAUUACAACUACGGAGGGUUUCAAAAUAUUUGAUGGAAGGUUGAGAAGGAAUUUUUCUUUGAAAUACCAAAUUGAAGGAUUUGAUUUUUCUGGGAUAUUACAGCUUUUUAGCAAUUUGGAGUGGUUGAUCAAAUUGAAUGAUUUCAGUA